rnacentral:precursor_RNA from 13 species
GUGUUAGAUUUUGGGCAAGUGGUGUCAUGGUUUCUGUGUGUUCAAUGGAAGCGCUACCAAAUGUAUCCAUCUGAUCGCACAGGAUUCAUGACUUACACUAGUGUGCUGGCUUCCUUC